UUAAACUGAAAUGGCUUCUCUGGCAGCAUCAACAGCGGCUGCUUCCCUUGGUGUGUCUGAAUUGCUUGGAAACAGUCUGAACAACUUUAGCGGCGCAGCCAGGUCGGCCCCUUCAGCCACCACACCAGCCACCUUCAAGACCGUCGCACUCUUCUCCAAGAAGAAGGCCGCACCCCCUCCCAAGGCCAAGGCUGUUGCUCCUGCUGACGAAGAGCUCGCCAAGUGGUAUGGUAAGUUGUUCAUCAUCAUUUUGUUUUCUCCCUCCAAUUAUUAAUAAAUCAGUGCCAUGCCAUGCAGUUAAUUAAUUAAUUCAUCAGGUCCUGAUAGAAGAAUCUUCUUGCCUGAGGGGCUCUUGGACCGCUCAGAGAUCCCAGAGUACUUGACUGGAGAAGUUCCUGGCGAGUAAGAUAUUAAACAUCUCUCUCUCUCUCUAGCUAAGUGAAAUUAUUGAGCCAUUACUUGAACCUCUAAUUGAGUUGUCCAUUGCUUCAUUUCAUUGAUAUGAUGUGCAUGAUCCAAUGCAGUUAUGGAUAUGAUCCUUUUGGGCUAGGCAAGAAGCCAGAAAACUUCAGCAAGUAAGCUUUUGCUAUACAUAAUACUCUCUCUCUCUCUCUCUCUCUCUCUCUCUCUCUCUCUCUCUCUCUCUCUCUCUCUAGACUAGAGAUAUGAUUUCUUUCUCCUGCAGUUAAUUUUCAUUAGGAUGGAAACAAACAGAUGAUCAAUCUAAUUGAUGACAUGUGAGGGUAAUUAAUACCGUGGUGUCUUUGAAUAAUGUUAAUGCAGAUACCAAGCAUAUGAGCUAAUCCAUGCUCGGUGGGCUAUGCUUGGUGCUGCCGGAUUCAUCAUCCCAGAGGCCUUCAACAAAUUUGGUGCUAACUGCGGCCCUGAGGCUGUCUGGUUCAAGGUUUGCAUUUAGUUUGAUAAAGUCAAUUAAACAUUGUUUUUCAUAUCGGAGUAGAAGCGUUCAACUUAUCAUGACUCUACUGUAUUAUUACCCAUGAAUGCAGACAGGAGCUCUACUCCUUGAUGGGAACACAUUGAAUUACUUUGGUAAGAACAUACCUAUCAAUCUUAUCUUUGCUGUUGUUGCUGAGGUUGUUCUUCUAGGUGGAGCAGAAUACUACAGAAUCACAAACGGCUUGGUACGUAACUAGAAUUCAUUUUAAUUUUAUAGUUUACUACCCUGAUUUCAUCAUUGCUGCUAUCUAAACUAAUAAAUUCUGAGAAAACCCACAUAAGAUGUUGGAACUUUUCAAAUACUAGUUAUAAUCUGCAAGACUGCCUGCCUUAUAUCUGCACUGUCAACCCGGGAGCAAAUCCCUUAAACUAAAGCCACAAUUUCACUUGCUUCAUGAGACAAUUUGAAAAAUCUGAGGUUGAAGACAAUAAUAGUAGGAUACAGCUCAUGCAUAUGCUGGUAGAUAUAUAUGCCCUUCUAAGAAAAAUAAUAACACAAUCAAUAAAAAAGAAAGGAUUACGUGUAUUAAGGAUGACAAUCUCAUGACUCUGUUGUGUGAUUUUCCUGGUAGGAUUUGGAGGACAAGCUUCACCCAGGUGGUCCUUUUGACCCAUUGGGGCUUGCUAAGGAUCCAGACCAGGCUGCAUUGCUAAAGGUGAAGGAGAUUAAGAACGGAAGACUUGCCAUGUUUUCCAUGCUUGGUUUCUUCCUGCAAGCUUAUGUCACCGGAGAAGGUCCUGUCGAAAACCUAGCAAAGCAUCUCAGUGAUCCCUUCGGCAACAACUUGCUUACUGUGAUCGGUGGCUCUGUGGAAAGAGCUCCA
rnacentral:lncRNA from 1 species